rnacentral:rRNA from 1 species
GAGUUUGAUCCUGGCUCAGAUUGAACGCUGGCGGCAUGCCUUACACAUGCAAGUCGAACGGCAGCAUGAUCUAGCUUGCUAGAUUGAUGGCGAGUGGCGAACGGGUGAGUAAUACAUCGGAACGUGCCCUGUAGUGGGGGAUAACUAGUCGAAAGAUUAGCUAAUACCGCAUACGACCUGAGGGUGAAAGUGGGGGACCGCAAGGCCUCAUGCUAUAGGAGCGGCCGAUGUCUGAUUAGCUAGUUGGUGGGGUAAAGGCCCACCAAGGCGACGAUCAGUAGCUGGUCUGAGAGGACGAUCAGCCACACUGGGACUGAGACACGGCCCAGACUCCUACGGGAGGCAGCAGUGGGGAAUUUUGGACAAUGGGCGAAAGCCUGAUCCAGCAAUGCCGCGUGUGUG